ACAUACAUCUAAAGCUGGAUCCACUGUUAUACUGUUCAUUUAACAGUAAAAUUCCGAUUCUGCCCUUGGUAAAUACAUCUAAAGCUGGGUUGCACUGUUACACUGUUCAUCCUGAAUUGUCGCUUUUGCCCUCGCUUGAAAUUGUUUUUGCAUUUAAAGCAAAUUAUACAACCGUUGAUUUCCUCCUCCUUCGACCGUUCUGCAACCAUCUUCAUCAGUUAUCAAGAAAGAUCGAGAGAGAGAGAGAGAGAUCGGUUGUCGUCGCCGCGUGAAUCCGGGGUGUUCGAGUGGUUGAUUUGAAGGGGUUAAAGGUGAGGCUUCGAGUGUGGCUUUUAAUUAAUGUUGAUUUCGAGUGUUUUUGGGUGUUUUCUUUGUUCUAGAGUGGUGAUAAUUGUUUGGUCCUGUGUCAUCUUUUAUCAACACUCAAUGCCAGAGAACCUCGAUCAAAGGCUGAAACGAACAAAUUAAAACAGUCCCUUAAAUUUUCAAAGCCUUCAUCUUGAAACGAAAUAGGACCAAAGUCCACAGAGAAAUAAUAUGUGAUGCGAUUAUAUAUGUUGAAUGCAAAAUUAAUUAUGAGAUUGAGUUGGGUGGUUUAAAAUGCAGAGCAGUCGGUUGAAAUUGAGAAGGAUGUGGUGAGGGAGAGAUAUAUAGUGUUAAUUAAUUGGAAUCACCUGAAUUGAAGAUGAGAUGAUCAUGAGAGGAGAAGAGUCGAAUUGUUGGAUGGGUGCGUCGAGAAUUGGGAGCUGAGAGCAGAGCAGAGAAAUGGAGAUGAUGGAGAGGGAGAGCGACGUGUGCCUAAAAUACGAGGGAAAUGGGCCAAAUGGCUACUCACCAUAACACCACCAUAUAUAUACCCGUCUCUCCCCUCUGUCUCUCUCCUUUCUACUCACCAGUAAUUAAUUCAUUUUCAUCUUUCUCUUCGUUUUUAUUUUUUCAUUUUCCUCACGUAGUCUCUCGAAAAAUUGCAUUUAUAUGCAAUCAUUCCAAUUUUUUUUUUUUUUUUUGCUUAUUUGAUUGCGAUACUUUACUGAUAUACUAACUUACGGUUGAUUGACGAGCCAAAUAUGAAUGAAUAAGGGUACGAUGUGAUGAGGGAAACUGAGAUUACUACCAAAUAUGCUACCUUUGAUAUGAAUCAUAUCCAAGUAUUCAACCUAAACACUUUUUCAAUCUCUUCAGCUGAGAACAAAAGACAACAGAAAGAACCAUGAGCAGAGAAUCAUCAAUAAUACUACUGCUUCAAGCAUGUUUCAGUUGAACUUGAUUUUGUACAGUUUACACUGCAGAGGUAAAAUUACAACCAAGAACUAAUUGAUCCAAGCCAGCCAGGAAUUUAAUUCAUUCUUCCAAGCUAUACUUGAUAAAUCUGUUUGAAUAUCAGCUGAUAUAUCAUUUAUUUUUAAUUCAUUCUUCCAAGCUAUACUUGAUAAAUCUGUUUGAAUAUUAGCUGAUAUGUCAUUUAUUUAACUCUUCAUUUCUAUUUCCUCUAUUUCUGUCAAUUUGUUGAUUACUGUUAUUGGAUAGAACGAUUUAAUUGCCCAUGAUAUCUAAUGUCCAGACUUUAUUUGUAGCUGGACACUUUAUUUACAGGGCAUACAUAGGAUCUAUACAAAUCUUGCGACGCAAACAGCUUUAUUUCCCAACAAUCUGCUGCAGAAAAGUUCUCCAGAUUUGAUGUAGUAUUUCGGAUUUUGAUGAACUUUCGGAGCAAGGUUUGGGUUUGUUUCGGAAAAGCUUGCUGCUAGAAUUUUGAUCGACUUCGGGAGAAACAUUUCAAUUGAAGCCGCUUAACCUCAAAAUGGAAGAGAGAUUGCAGUAGUCAUAUAUUUCCUCGCUGACUGGAAAGUCAAAAUCAUCUCUUUGCAUGGAUUUUCAAAGCACUCAAAUCUUUCAAAUGAGCAAAUUCUCGACUGGAUAUUGAGGUUGCUCUUCUCUGGUCAUGAAACUUCAUCAGUAUCCAUAGCUUUAGUCAUAUAUUUCGUGUCUGACUCUCCUAAUACAAUUGAACAAUAACAUACAACGAUUUUUCCGCAGCAACGCGCGGGCA